AAACCACAGGUUCAAAAUGAUACCAACACCUUCCCUAUGUAUGUAAAUUUGCUGCUAGCUAAACUGUUCAGUGUUCUAAAAGCUGAUAAUGGGAAAUAACUGUACCUCACUGGAAUAAUAGAGUUAUGAAAAAUUUGUGCUUUAUAAAAAUGUGAAGGAUUUGUAGAAUUAAGAGGUUUCCAUUUUACAAUUCAUUAUGAAAUAGUAUCAACGAUCAUCAAUGACUGCUAAAACGAUUAGGUCGAAAGGUUAUGGCGAAUUUAUAAUCAUGCUGACAACGUCCAAACCCCACAAUUCAGUCCCAUCAUUUUAAACACACACACACACAAAAUGAUGUUAUGUACCUCCUGCUGGGAUACAACAGGAAAUACAAAAUACCAACCAUGACAUUUUCUUGGCAAAAUUUCAAAACUGGAUCAGGCUCCCCCAGAUCCAAAUACCAGUUUAUAAGAAAUAUUGGGGAGAGAAAUAUGUUAAAUGAAAGAACUGAUAGGAUCCUAUAAGCAGAAUCCACAAUGUGAGGGAAAAUGUAGAGGGAAAAGACCUACCUUGUUCAACAAAUUGCCAAAAAGACCAAAAAGGAGGAAGGGGAAAUUUAUAAUUAAAGAUUUAAGAGAGUUCAAAUGUUACCGUUUCUGUAAACCUUUAAUAGACUCCUUGAAAUAGAACAAAUCCCUCACUUCAAAGCAAUCCCAACACAUCAAGAACUUGACACUCCACUAUGCCCCUUUUCCCUAUUCCAGGAUUCCCCCCUCCCCUUCCACCUUACUCAGAUUCAGUUCCAUGGUCAUCAUUAUGAUCACUCUCUCGCACAUAACAUAAGCUCCUUUGCCCCCUCUCAUACUUGCUUGGGUAGAUCACACACCCGAGUAAAUCCUACUCUGUAUGCCUGUCCUCUAGCAGCUGAAUGUGGAUGAAUAGCUGAUUUCUUUUUAGAUUCACCCUCCUUAAUGUCACUGGAACCUUAAUGCUGCCUGGCAGUUUUUUCCCCUUGGUCUGGCUUCUUUUCCAGUUUCCAAUUUGAAACAAUUAUACCUUUUCCUCUUUCCAAACACCUCCAAAAUCGCCUCCAUCCUCAUCUGAUAAAGUCAUCUUGCUUGAUAUUUCACUGAAUUAAAUAAAGGUAAUAAGAAAACUUCCAACACAUCUAAAUGACUAAUAAACAUAUGAAAAGCUACGACACAUGCAAAUUAAAACUGUACAACCUGGUACCACUACCACUCACCAGAACGGUUAAAUUGACAGUAGAAAUACAGGCAUUCCUCAGACAUUUUGUGGCUCGGGCUCCAGACCACUGCAAUGAAACAGCUAUCACAAAAAAACAAGUCAAAUUAAUUUUUUGGUCGCCCAGUGCAUAUAAAAGUUAAAAUUAUGCUACACUGUGGUCUAUGGUGUGUGCAAUAGCAUUAUGCCUUAAAAAAAAAAUACAGAGCUUAAUUUGAAAAUACUUUAUCGUUAAGAAUAAACGCUAACCAUCAUCUGGGCUUUCAGCAAGUUGUCAGGUUUUGGCUGGUGGAGGGUCUUGCCUCGAUGUUGAUGGCUGCUGCGUGACCAGGGUGGUGGUUGCUAGGAUGUCUGUGGCAGUUUCUUAAAAUAAGACAACAAUGAAGUUGGCCACAUCAUUCACUCUUCCUUUCACAAUUUCUCUGUAGCCUGUGAUGCUGUUGGAUAGCAUUUUACCCAGAAAACUUCUUCCAAAAGGAGUCAAUCCUCUGGCUGCUGCUUUGUCAACUAAAUUUAUGUAUUCAACACUUUGUUGUCAUUUCAACAAUCUUCACAGCACCUUCACCAGUCGAUUCCAUCUCGAGAAACCACUCGUCACCAUAACAAAUACAAUAAUAAUGAAAAAGUUUGAAGCACCUCAAGAAUUACCAAAACAUGACAAGGACACAGUGAACAAAUCCUAUUGGAAAAAUGGCACCCAAAGACUCCCUCAACAUAGGAUAGCCACAAACCUUCCAGGUGUGAAAAAGAGAAGCACAAUUCAGUGAAACUCAAUAAAACAAGGUGCAAUGUUAAUGAAAGAAGAGAGAAACCGAACUCCACAAGCUCCCACUGCUUCAUGGAACUGUCCACGUGCAUCUGAGCCCCUUCACUGGCCUUCACUCCUGUUACUGUGGGUGUUCCAUCAAAGAUAGGCUUUGCCUCCUGUGCCCUACAGAAUUACCCCCUCUCUUCCUAAGAAUGCCACUCCGGCAGGUCUCCCAUCUCAUUCCCACACCUUUUCUCUCGACUAGAUUUUUCCCAUCAACCUACAGACAUAGUAUCACUUUUCUACUGUCUAAGACAACCUUCUCAACCUUCGGUUGCUGUAGUUUUUUCCCCUUCUCUUGGGCUAGAGCAAAACUCAAAUGAUUAUAUGCGCUGAAUGCCGAUUUGUUCUAAUACCCUCUUUGAACCACUCCAGUCAUGUUCUCACCUCCACACUCCACAAACACAGAUCUUCUCAUCCAGGUCACCUCCGCAUUGUUCAGCCCGGUAGCCACUUCUUCACCGCCGUCUUCCGUGAUUUUCCGCCGUUUUUAGGCUUAAUCAUCAACUCCCUCUUUCCGAGAUCACUUUCUCCUUCAGGCUUCCAGAAUACUGAGCACCCAUGUUGCCCUCUACCACACUACUAGCUGCUCCUUUCCAACUUUCUUAUAUGGUUCCUCUUUACAUCUCUGGCCUCUCAUUUUGGAGAUCCCCAGAGUUCAUCCAGGGGCUUAGUGUCCAUCCAUGUUUUCUCCUCUGGGGCUCAUAUGCAGCAUCAUGCACACACUGCGUAAGUGGAGGAACACCAACGAAAUGUCUCCAGCCCAGACCUCUCUCCCGAACUCAGGCUCCUGACGCAUCUGUCUCCCAGCGUUUCUACCUAGAUGUCUAACAGGCAUCUCCGAUUUUCUAUGUGCAACAUCAAACUCCGGAUCUGCCCCUAAAAACCCACUCUUUCACAGGUUUCCCGUCUUGGUUAACGGAAACUCUAUCCUUCUGACUCCUCACCAGGACAAAACCCUCGGAGACAUUCUUGACUCCACCAUUUCUCUCCUAAACAAACUCAGUCUGUCAGCAGGUCCUCAAACAGAACCGCCAAAGCAUUUCUAGAAUCGGACCACUCUCACCAUUUCUACUUCUGUAACCCUGGCCUAAGCCACUAUUGCUAGUGCCAGGAUUAUUGUCAGAACCUCCUAACUGGCCUUCCUGCUUCCCCUCCCUCCCAACCAGUCUGGUCUUGGUGCACCAUUGAAACACUGGCCAGAUCAAGUCAGUCCUCUGCUCAAAACCUUCCAUGUCCUACCUAUUUCACGCAAAGACAAUUUCCGUGUGACGGGUUACAAGGGCAUUCACAGCAUACCCCUUCUCCCUUGUACUGUUACCUCUUCUUUGUCCCCACCUUUCCUCUGCUCCAUUGACACUAGCCUCCUUGCUGCUCCUCAAACAUGGAAGAUGAGCUUCUGCUUCAAGGCCUUGCAACUCUUUCCUCUUGGCCUAGAAUGCUCUUCCCCCAUUUAUCCUCAUGGAUCAUCCCUUCAUCUUCUUCAGAUCUGGACUCAAAUGUCACUUUUUCAUUAAGGGCCUCCCUGACCACAGUAUUUACCAGUGUUAAGCCCUCUCCCUCUCCACCCCACUCUCCUACAGUCUCUAUCACUUCCUUUAAUUUCUCUCUAGCACCAUCUCCUUCUGAUACACAUAUGUAUUACUUAUCUGUCUGCUGUCGGUUUCCUGCUAGUAUGUAACAACAGGAGCAUGAGGAUUUCUGUCUUGUUGACUGCUAUAUCCCCGGUGUCAAGAACAAUGCCUAGUAAAUAGUAAGAGUUUAGUUACUAUUUGCGGAACGAACAUAGGAGUUAUGUCAGUCCCUGUCACACACUCAAGCCUCAAAGAGAUGGGAACCACAUCUUAACUAUCUUUGUAAUAAAUGACUGACUAAAUGGAAGAAAGAAGAACGGAUCUUCAGUUUAAUGAAGGUACUUACUGAAGGCAAUGCAUUCAAUUGUCCUUUUCAUUUUUAAUGCAAAUACUUGCUCUCCCCUGAACAAAUCAGGUCAGCUAUUCCCAAACAAUGUUACCAACUGCCUUUUCUUCCUUUCUUAAAUUUUCCCUCAAUCAAGAGCAAAGAUUACAAUAGGCAGAGCGUGCAAUAAAAAUAUAGUGAUUAAACAAUGCUUACCAAAUCAAAAAGAGGAAAUAUUCAAACCUUGAGAGGUAAUACAAACAUUGUUGCACAACUCACUUAUGAUUUUUCUUGUCCCAAGAAAGGUUAAAGAAACAGAUAUGACUCAGAAGGAAGGAAAAAACCAACAGAUAUGUUGGUUUAACCAUAUGAUUUCUAAAAUACACUCAAUAAAUGAGGGCAAAUUUUGACCCUUCUGAUGUGAA